AGUUUGAUCCUGGUCAGAGUGAACGCUGGCGGCGNGCUUAACACAUGNAAGUCGAACGGUAACAGCAGAGCUUGCUCUGGCUGACGAGUGGCGCACGGGUGAGUAAUCGAUAGUUAAUGUGCCCCAAAGACUAGGAUANCCACUGGAAACGGUGAUUAAUACUGGAUAAGCCUCUAUGACANAAGUCAGCGAGGAAAACGCUUUUUCGCUUUGGGAUCAGACUAUAUCCUAUCAGGUANUUGGUGAGGUAAGAGCUCACCAAGCCAAUGACGGGCANCGGGUUNGAGAGGAUGAUCCGCCACACUGGUACUGAGACACGGACCANACUCCUACGGGAGGUCAGCAG
rnacentral:rRNA from 1 species